rnacentral:lncRNA from 1 species
AGGGCUAGGUUUUUUUUUGCUGAAACAAAUUUUAAUUUACUGGGCUUUGGGCUGUAAUUUUUGGGUUAUUUUCAUUUGUUUUGGGUCUUUAGGCCUAGGUCAAAAUUGACCUGUUACAGCUGCCCCUCUUUGCUCAUUGUCGUGUAACGAGAAUGAAGCAAAGACUUUUGACGGGUCAAUUUUGUCUGGUCUCGUCGAAUCUUGACUUCUUGGUGCCUUUCUUCUUCAAGUAGCCUCAUUCAAGUCUACUGUGUCUUGUUGCUUUAGUCCACUUUAUUGCACUUCAGAGAGAUACGUCUUUAAUCUACUCUACUGCAACUCCAUGAGGAUGAGGUUUGUGGUUUUAGUCUACUCCACUACUGCUUAGGGAGAUAAGACUGGAUGCGAUCUGCUCCACAACUGCUUAGGGAGAUAGGAUCUGUUUUUCAAUCCACUUCCUACCAAUAUUGGAAGGCAGGAUCUGCUAUCUUCGAUCUACUUCAC